rnacentral:rRNA from 1 species
AGUGAACGCUGGCGGUAGGCCUAACACAUGCAAGUCGAACGGCAGCACAGUAAGAGCUUGCUCUUACGGGUGGCGAGUGGCGGACGGGUGAGGAAUACAUCGGAAUCUACUUUUUCGUGGGGGAUAACGUAGGGAAACUUACGCUAAUACCGCAUACGACCUACGGGUGAAGGCAGGGGAUCUUCGGACCUUGCGCGAUUGAAUGAGCGGAUGUCGGAUUAGCUAGUUGGCGGGGUAAAGGCCCACCAAGGCGACGAUCCGUAGCUGGUCUGAGAGGAUGAUCAGCCACACUGGAACUGGGACACGGUCCAGACUCCUACGGGAGGCAGCAGUGGGGAAUAUUGGACAAUGGGCGCAAGCCUGAUCCAGCCAUACCGCGUGGGUGAAGAAGGCCUUCGGGUUGUAAAGCCCUUUUGUUGGGAAAGAAAAGCAGCAGGUUAAUACCCCGCUGUUCUGACGGUACCCAAAGAAUAAGCACCGGCUAACUUCGUG